AGACCCGUUUUUUGAUUCCCGGUGGCUCAGGGCAGGGGAGGUGGGGGAGAGGGCGAGGGGAGUGGCCGCGGCCUCCCCUCGCCCCUGGGUUGCGGCCUAGCCCGGGAAGUCAGAGCGGGUCCUUUGGCCCCACCGUAACGACCCCCCCUCGCUUCCCCCACCUCCCGCCCGCCGCCCUCGCGGCGGCGAGCUGGAAGCCUCGGGCUCCGGCUCACAGUUCCCGUCUCCCUACCCCCCCCUCCCACCCCGCUGCACCCCACCCCCACGGCGCCUGCUCCUUUCCCAACCUUUCUCCCCUCCCCCACAUCCGGUGUUGGCGAAACGUAGGAGCCCGGAGCAGUCCCGGAAAGCCGGUUUGUUCCCCGACUCCCGGAGAGAGAACUGACACUAGAUUGCUUUCUUCGCGACAUCAGUUUCCCCACUUUAGCGGUCCCCCCACUGCCUAAAUCAAACUGAGUGCCAGGAGCUGAAUUUACCUACUCUCAUUCCUCUCCAGGGUCCCACUACUUGGGAGAUACUCUCAAACUCCACAUACAGAAAGCCACCGACCUUAAUCCGGUAUCCUACACCCCUUCCUUACCUUAAUUAACUCCCAUCCCAGCCCUCCGCAUCGGAGUCAAGAACAACAGGGACACUUCCGUUCUCCUUGUAGGAUUGAUGAGACCGUAAUGAAGAACACCCCCUAAACUCCCAUAAUCGGUGCGGAUUCCUAUGGGGAAGGCCCAUGUUGUUGACAUCAGGCCUUGGUUCUGGACCUUGAGAAGGAGGCUGUGGAACUAGUGAUAGCGAUGCUUUUUAGGAUAAAUGGAUGUAGGUAUUGGGGGAAGGGAAGGGAUCAACCGAAAAGGAAUGGAAGUGGUUUAAAGCUCAGAUUUCAGUUCUUGCCGCUCAUAGAGAGUUCCAGUUCCCCGCGUGAGUUACUCUUUUACCGGCAGUAAGGCUUCCCCGGUCUAAAAAUGUGUCAGAACUAAAUUUGGAUUAACUCUUGAUACAAACAGUAAAUUGAAAAUUCAGCUUGUGAACCUUAAAAAUUCUUAUUCUCCAAUCACUUUAUUUAGCCGCCCGCAUUUUAAAAAAUUGUAGUAUUGUUAUUUGGAGCGGAAGGGCUCAACUAGCAUCUGCUCUUAAUGACCAGUAUGUGGAGUUUGUUUUAUAUUCCCAGAAUUGACGUUUUGGGUUGUUAUUGUUAAAUCACAGCCCUAAAUGAUGAAUGUUGAAUGAUGCACUAUGUUUUUGUUUAAGCGAGGUUUCCUGAAAUUAAUUAAUUUCAGAAUUAAGGGAAAUUGAUGUUGCUUUCAUGACCCAUCAUCAAAAUACAUACUUUAAAAGCUGAAGGCAUUUCAAACAGAUAUAGUCUUGAUGAAGCAAGGAAAACAUGGACCUGGGCUUUGGAAGACCUGGCUUCUAGCUGCUGCUGACUCUAUGACUUUGGGAAGGUGGCCCUCAGUUCUUUUUUUUCUAUAACAUGAAGAGAUGGGACUGUUUGAAUUCAGAUUCAGAACUCAGAAGUUGGAAGGGAUCAUAAAGCCCUGUAGGAAAGAGUUUGGGAAUGUUCUCCAUCGCUGUCACUUUUCUUCCAGAAAUAACCUGGCUUGGAAGUCAUUGUUGCAAAGGGAAUUUGAUUCCCCCUAGAAAUUGGAGACAAGGUAAUGCUAUUAGAGAGGAACAGCUCUAUUCCUGCUUGAGUGAUAAACCCACUGGCAGAAUUUGGUACGAAUUUUGGAGACAUAAAGAGAAUGAGUGUAUGUACCUUAAGUGUACCAGUUUCAUCACUCUCUCCUGGCAGAAGAUGCAGCACUUUCAGCGGUGCUGGGAUUCUGGGAUGUGUUCCUAUUAAUUCUAAUACAGAUGAAGAAGAUGUGGUAGAGGGGAAGAUGGUGGCAGAAGGAAUGGAUAAAGAGGCAAAAUUGCCGGCUAAAAAGAAAAGAAAGAAGGGUUUACGGAUUAAGGGGAAAAGACGAAGAAAAAAACUGAUCCUUGCGAAAAAGUUUAGUAAGGAUUUGGCAUCUGGGAGGCCUGUUGCAGAUGCGCCUGCUUUAUUAGCUUCCAGUGCCCAUGAGCAGGACGAAGAAAGUCUCUUUGAGAGCAAUAUAGAGAAACAGAUCUAUCUACCCAGUACCAGAGCCAAGACCUCCAUUGUGUGGCACUUCUUUCAUGUUGACCCCCAGUACACCUGGCGGGCUAUCUGUAACCUCUGUGAGAAAAGUGUUAGCAGGGGUAAACCAGGCAGCCAUCUGGGGACAUCUACUCUACAGCGACAUCUGCAGGCAAGGCAUUCACCUCACUGGACCAGGGCCAACAAAUUCGGAGUCACUAGUGGGGAGGAGGAUUUUACUUUGGAUGUGCCUUUAUCUCCCUCUUCUGCUGGGAGCAAUGGAAGCUUUGAAUAUAUCUCUACAGAUCCAUUAGAUGAAAACAGAAUGGGUAAGAAACGUGAUAAAUCUGUAUCUGAUGCCCUGAGGGCGGAACGAGGGAGAUUUCUCAUCAAAAGUAACAUUGUCAAGCAUGCCUUAAUUCCUGGAACACGAGCCAAGACCUCUGCAGUUUGGAAUUUUUUUUACACCGAUCCUCAGCACAUCUCAAGAGCUGUGUGUAAUAUAUGCAAAAGGAGUGUGAGCCGGGGUAGGCCAGGUUCUCACUUAGGAACUUCAACCCUGCAACGACACUUGCAGGCCACACAUCCCAUCCAUUGGGCUGUUGCCAACAAAGACAGUGGUGCGGUUGGAAAUGGAUUGGAUGAGGCUGAGACUGAGAGAAAUGAUCUCUUAAGCGAUCCGCCAUGUGGAGACAAGUCUACAGGCAGCCACGAUUUAACAGCUGAGGACCUUAGUGACUCUGAUUCAGAUGAACCUCCUGUGUUAGAGGUCGAAAAUAGUAGAGGAUCUGAGAGUCCUAUCCCUGCUGCAGAUCCAGACGUUCUGACACAGGCACAGGAGAGAGAAACAACAUAUUCUGAAAAUUCAGUCUCAAGUCAAAUAAGUCAGGCAAUUAUUCAGAUGAUUGUGGAGGAUAUGCAUCCUUACAACUACUUCUCCACCCCAGCCUUUCAGAGGUUCAUGCAGAUUGUGGCCCCCAAUUAUAGAUUACCAUCUGAGACUUACUUUUUCACGAAGGCAGUACCUCAGUUAUAUGAUUGGGUCAGAGAAAAAAUUUUCUUGACUUUGGAGAAUGUUCAGAGCCAAAAGAUCCACCUGACUGUGGACAUAUGGACCCACGACCCAUCCACGGACUAUUUCAUUGUGACUGUACACUGGGUCUCUUUGGAAGCUGCAUCUUCUUCUAAUAAUGGCAGGAUCUCCAAUUUUAGAAAGUGGGCGGUACUUUGUGUAACAGGUUUAGCCAAAGACUGUAUGAUAACCAACAUUUUACAAGAAUUAAAUGACCAGAUUGGUCUGUGGCUUUCUCCUAAUUUCCUCAUUCCUAGUUUCAUUGUUUCUGACAAUUCUUCUAACGUGGUACAUGCAAUCAAAGAUGGUGGUUUUACCCAUGUGCCAUGCUUCCUGCAUUGUUUAAAUAUAGUCAUUCAGGACUUUUUUUGUGAACACAAAAGCAUUGAGAAUAUGUUAGUAGCUGCUAGGAAAACCUGUCAUCAUUUUAGUCAUUCAGUCAAAGCCCGUCAGAUACUGCAAGAGUUCCAAAAUGAUCACCAACUUCCAUGGAAGAAUUUGAAACAGGAUGAAACUGGUCAUUGGAUUUCUACCUUUUAUAUGUUAAAAUGGCUCUUGGAGCAUUGCUAUUCAGUUCACCAUAGUCUCGGCAGAGCCAGUGGAGUUGUGCUCACCUCCCUUCAGUGGACUCUAAUGACUUACGUGUGUGAUAUUCUUAAGCCAUUUGAGGAGGCCACCCAGAAAGUGAGUGUCAAGACCACAGGAUUGAAUCAGGUGCUACCCCUAAUCCAUCACCUACUUCUUUCCCUGCAGAAACUUAGAGAAGAUUUUCAAAUAAGAGGUAUUACUCAGGCACUCAAUCUGGUGGACAGUUUAUCUCUGAAACUUGAAACUGAUUCCCUGCUGAGUGCCAUGCUCAAAUCCAAGCCUUGUAUCUUGGCUGCUUUGUUAGACCCUUGCUUUAAAAACAGUUUGGAAGACUUUUUCCCUCAAGGUCCCGAUUUAGAAACUUACAAGCAGAUCCUUGCAGAAGAAGUUUGCAACUACAUGGAAUCUUCAGAGGUCUGCCAUAUUGCAACUUCAGAAGCUUCUGGUCCCUCGGGCAUUGUAGGAGCUGAUUCAUUUACCUCAUCUAUAAGAGAAGGCACCUCCGGUUCAGGGUCUUUUGAUAGCUCAGCUGCAGAUAAUGUUGCCAUUGGAAGCAAAAGCUUCAUGUUUCCUUCUGCCAUAGCAGUAGUGGAUGAAUACUUCAAAGAGAAGUAUUCAGAGAUCUCAGGAGGUGGUGACCCUUUGAUUUACUGGCAGAGGAAGGUGAGCAUAUGGCCAGCUCUGACCCAAGUUGCCAUUCAGUAUCUAAGCUGCCCCAUGUGUAGUUGGCAAUCUGAAUGUAUCUUUACUGCAAAUAGCCAGUUUCAUCCAAAACAGAUCAUGAGCCUGGACUUUGACAAUAUAGAACAGCUGAUGUUUUUGAAAAUGAACUUGAAAAAUGUUAACUAUGAUUAUUCUACAUUGGUUCUGAGCUGGGAUCCUGGGAAUGAAGUUAUUCAAAGCAAUGAAAAAGAAAUAUUACCUUAAUUUCUUUUUCCUUUUUCCAUUUGAAAUGGGCAACUUGUGGCUAUGUUACUGUAUCCUAAUUGCUAUAGUUGUUAUACCUAGUUAACACUAAUUAUUCUUAAUACACACAUCUGGGGAAACCUGAAAACACAGGAAGUGCUGAAAAUUCCUCAGAGGUAAUAAUGUCGACAAAGUGAAGAUGAAAAAAUUUCACAGUAGUAAUUUGAUGUACCUGUCACUUGAAAUUUUGUUUAUACCAAUUAAGAGAGAAAAUUAUUUUUUAACUUAAAAAAUAUAGUGCAACAUUGAAAGGCUUUAGGCUAUUUCUGGCUGGUAGAUUGAAUUGUAAUUGGUGUUAAGUAAAAAUUUCUCCCAUCAUGGGAAGUUUGAUUAUUUUGAAACUAGUGGAAUUGAAGGGAAAAAAAGCAUACGAAGCUGGUAUUCCUCCCCCUCUCUCCCAUUUUUCUAUUUCUUUAAAAACCCUAAUCCAUACUUACAAGUUGGCAAAAACAAAACUCAUGAAAUUUGGAGAUUUCUAAUUGCCUCCUCAUACUGGUCAGCUUUAUAAUUUCAACUUACUGAGUGUUAUAAAAUAGUGGAAAAACAAUAAAAUAAAGAUUAUAUGGGUACUUUUUACAAAUGUAUGGGCAAAUGACAUAAUAGGUUUACAAAAAUUGAGAGAGAUUGAAUGGGAAUUGGAAUAAAAGCCCCAGGAGCACACUUUUGACAAACGCAGUGUCCAUGUCCCAAAGAAUGUUUCUCUAAUUUUGAGUGAUCUUAAAUGUCUUAAAAUAUAUAUGCUGAAUGAUCCAUAAUACUGUAUUCUGCAACUGUGAGAUUGUUCUUUGGCUUCUAAUCUUAGCUAAACAUAAGGACUCAGUAUUUUCAGGUGUUAGGAAUCACUGCCUCGCUGGUAAAAUAGAAAAUUGAUUUCCAUGAUCUUUAAAGUUUAAAGUCCCUUUCCACUCUCAGAGUAUGUUUCUGUGGUUGAGUGGGAGGCCAGAAAAUGAUGACUUUUAGUGAAAGUCUAUUACAAGUUUCAGACUGAAUAACUAAUGUAAGAUCCCAAUUUUUCCUUUUUUUCAUUUUAGAUUUGGGGAUAUUCCCUGCCCAAAAAUUUCCUGGAAAAUUGACUAGUAUUAAGUGUGAGUAAAAGGUGUCCACUUUUUUUUAAGUUUUGAUUUUAGUUUUGUCUUGGAUAGUAUUUGGCAAGAUUUAGCCUAGAAAUUAUGUAGUACUUAUUACAUGAGAAUCAAAAUUGCUUUGUUACGGGGCUGGUUUCAAAAUUUAGAACUCAUUUCUCUGUAUCAAAAUCGUUUUUUUGUUUUUGUUUUUGGGGGUUUUUAGUUUUUUUGUUUUUUAAAUUCUUAAAUGGUAACUGUACCAUUUGUGCACUGAAAUUUCAACUCCCAAAGUUUACCCUUUUACUAACUGGAGUAUUCAUUUAAUACUUACAAAGUCUUUAGUUGUAGCCAUCAUUUGUAAAACAAAAUAAAAGAAAACAAAAAAAGAAACCGGGCUGCAUAAGCACGCCUUUGCAGGGCCAGUAUUGAAUGUUAUACCAGUGUCGCUGGUGUUGCUAUAAAAGAACAAAAGUCCCUUAGAUAGAAGCUCUCUGUGUUUUGACAGAACCAGUUCAGGAUGGCUGUUGUGCUGCUCUGCCUUCUCCUGCUUGCUGCACCGCUCUGCAGUUACUCUAUAACUAUCCGUUUCUAUCUUUUUUGGUUAAACACUCCCUGAAGAUGCUAAAGAUCAUAAUGAUGUACAUACAUCCGUAUUAUACACAUUGAUAACGUGUGUAAGGAUUUCCCUUCAUGUUUACCCUGUGGGCUGGGCGAAAUUUAGUGUAACCUAUUGAUACACGUCAUGAUACUUUGGUUUAAGAGGAAGUUCGCUAUUUUUAUAAUGAACCCAAAUCUGAAGGCUUUUAUAGUGCAUUUUAAAAGGGAAAACUUACCCAAAUGUUUUAUUUCUACACAUUUGUGUAUAUGUGUGUGUGUGUGUAUAAGCCAGUUAGUAUAUUGUAUAUGUAUAUUAUAUACAUAAAACACUUUAUAUUUUUUCAUACAAGUAUGCUUUUAUUAUACAGAUAAUAAAGAUGGGGGAAGGUUUCUGUUUUUUUCUUAAUAGGUGAAGAAAUCUUGAAGACCAGAAAUUGGAUCUUAUUGAAUUUUGGUGUUCUUUUUCUUUUUUCUUUUUUUCUUCUUUUUAAAUUAUAUUGUUCGGCUAUGGAAGAUGGAUUUUUUUUUCCCAAUAAUCCUUUGACUCUCAAGUUCAUCUUUCAAUGAACUCUCUUUUUGUUGGUUUUUUGUUUUUGUUUUUGAGGAGAUAACUAAUCCUAGCUGUCUCCAGUCUGACAAAGGUUAUUCAAAUGGACUUAAUCUCCCAGUAGUUGGGAGAUGUUUUAAAAACACGUCCUGUGUUUGAAUUGUGGCUGAGAGGUUUCCUUGGCAAUGUGAGGAGGAAAAUUCUUUCUGCCCCAUUAUUAUUAAUUCAUGGAUUGAGUGUUGGUUCGACCUACAGGCGUAAUAGAUUGGAACUCAGUGAAGACACAGACGUCCCUGUUGAGAGCAACCAGCUAAUGAUUGCAUUUUACAGACGAUUUCUGUGAUUGAGUUGUGUUUUGGAAGAUUAAGGCCAUUCCAAGAGGGCUUGGAGCUGGUCUCGCCUUGAGGAAGCAGUGGCUUGUUUUCAAGAAGCCACUUCGAAUCCAAGGAUCUA